GUCCCAGAAUUGUAGGAUUUUAUUGAAAACUUUCUUAUGGAAAUUAGUUUUUGCCUACAGAACAUGCAUGUCUUGUCUGGGAACUUCUGGCAGGCUUUUUCUUUUUUUUUGCCAGCAAAUGUUCUUUAUUAAACAAAUCUGAAAAUUGAUUUUUUAUAGAAGUAGGUUGAAGCAAAAUUAUUCUUUAUAAUGUGGCUAUUUUUGUUUUCUUUUUUAUUUUUGGAUGAUAGGAGAAAAUGGAAUGAGAAAAAAAGAACAAUGCUGAAAACGCUGGAGAUGGUCAUGGGUGCAAACACUUCAGUGCAAAAGACUGAAGAAAAAGGAGUCCGCCUGCACUGGAGUAGAACUGACGCAGAAGAAGCCAAGCGGCGUCGUAACACAUUUGCCCCGUGUAAGUUAAGACAUCCUUAGUGAUCCUCUGCUGCCUUUCUUAGACAACCCAUGGAGCCGUGAGAUUGCAUCUUCCACAGGGAGGCCUUUGUCACUCGGUGAGUCACUUUGGUCAGCUGAAGGAGAUGUCCUCUUGUCCCCAACAAUUUUGUGUGUGAGGCAGGCAAACACAAGUGACCAACACAGGGGAUGCUCAAUGGGGAAAACUGAAAACAGAGCAAAAAUUUCCAAAGAAAAUAUGGCAACCUACAACAGUCCAAAUUUUAUCCCCUCUAUGUCCUUAUUCUAUAUAUACCUUCUCCAUGAGGACCCAAGCAGCAAAUACCAG
rnacentral:lncRNA from 1 species